rnacentral:lncRNA from 1 species
CCUGAUUGUGUGCUGUGUACCAUGGUUGGUGAGUGCUUAGAUGGAGUGGCUCAGGAGGGCUUCCUGGAGGAGGAGGCAGCCCUCCCCCACACCCAGGAUCCCACAGGCCCUUCCUGUCCUUCCCUUGCCUCCCUGCAGGUGCAGGCAGCUGCUGGGCACUACAGAGUGUACAGCCUCAAUGGGUCCCUAUCUGUGCAAAUGUCCAGCCGGGAGAUGGUUCUGCUGGAGGUCGAUGCCAGCCAGGAUACUCGGAGAAGCAGCCGGGGCUGGGGUGUGAGUGUCCCUCUCCACUAGGCUGUCCUCAGCACCGCCAGGGCUGUUCGGCUGCAGCUGUCUGGAAAGAUCACCCCAGCAAGUUACACUACUCCAAGGGUGGGGUUCAGAGCACGUUUGCCCUGGGCGUGGAGGAGCGUCGUUUUCACAUCAGCACCCGGCUGGUAGCUGCUACGGCCAGUUUCCCCAACUUCAUGAAGCUGGAACAGACUUUCCUACAGGUGCAGCUCACCUGGAACAGAGGACAGCCUGUGACCCUGCAGCUCGCCUGGGCCGACAGGUUCUCAGCACACAGCACCUCCUGGGACGGCUGCCUGGCCACCGCCCCGGGGCAGCUCCAGGAAACCUGGGGCCUGGACACCCUCUGGGCGUGCAGGGCCGUAACACAGACCCCGGACAUGUUCAUUGAACAGCUUGACCUGUCCUGGGGCCAGCAGCGCAUGAGGCAGAACUUGACAUACAAGGUGAGGCCUGGGGAGCAGCAUCCGGGCAGGGAACCCCCGGGCAGCUCCACCU